rnacentral:rRNA from 1 species
GACAGAGGUGGCAACAGUUGUUCGGAAUUACUGGGCGUAAAGCGCGUGUAGGCGGCCCUGCAAGUCGGAUGUGAAAUCCCACGGCUCAACCGUGGAAGUGCAUUCGAAACUGCAGGGCUAGAGUCCUGGAGAGGAAGGUGGAAUGCUUGGUGUAGAGGUGAAAUUCGUAGAUAUCAAGCGGAACACCGGUGGCGAAGGCGGCCUUACUGGACAGUGACUGGACGCUGAGACGCGAAAGCGUGGGGAGCA